GUGAGUGUAGAGUACCACACCUGAGGAGGAAUAACCCCAAGUACCAGUACAGGCUGGGUGCUGACCUACUAGAGAGCAGCUCUGUAGAGAAGGACCUGGAAGUCUUGGUGGAUGACAAGUUGUCCGUGAGCCUGCAGUGAGUUGUUGUGGCCAGCAGG